rnacentral:lncRNA from 10 species
UGUGAGCUUCAGGCACCUUAUCUGAAAAUGGGGAUAAGACUUCAUGGGGCUCAUGUGAGGAUUAAAUGAAACAAUAUGUGAAAACUGCUUGCCUGUCACAUAGUAAACACUCUCAAGGGAAAGCACCCUUCACAUGGCCUUCCUGUGUUCUUGGGACCUCCAUUACUGGCUCUGGGUUAUAUUUGUCUGUGGGGCCAAUUUUCCCUUCACUGAAACACAAUACGCUGAAGGACAGAGUUCUGGAUUCUGAGGGUCAAGUCCUUAGCUUUACCCCUCAAGAGUCAUGUGACCUUGAGCUGAUUUCCUUAUUUCUGAUGAAGCGUGGCCCAGCUUCCUGACAGAACGAGUACCAGAUCAACUGGAAAAGGCAUGUGAAAGGAACUGGCAUGUCUAAUGGGCUUUACAUAUGGUUGGCAACAUAAUCCUCUGGCAGAAAAGUGUUCAAAAUGGGACUCUAUGGAAACGGGCUUAGGCACACCACCCCAGGAUCACAAGUUGGUCCACAGAGGCUGGAAAAGAACCUCCGCCCUCCACUACCCAUGAGCCAUGGGAAAGGCUAUCAUGUGAUUCUGGUCACAUACUUCACU